rnacentral:rRNA from 1 species
UACACUCCUACGGGAGGCAGCAGUGGGGAAUUUUGGACAAUGGGCGAAAGCCUGAUCCAGCAAUGCCGCGUGAGUGAAGAAGGCCUUCGGGUUGUAAAGCUCUUUUGUCAGGGAAGAAACGGUGAGAGCUAAUAUCUCUUGCUAAUGACGGUACCUGAAGAAUAAGCACCGGCUAACUACGUGCCAGCAGCCGCGGUAAUACGUAGGGUGCAAGCGUUAAUCGGAAUUACUGGGCGUAAAGCGUGCGCAGGCGGUUUUGUAAGUCUGAUGUGAAAUCCCCGGGCUCAACCUGGGAAUUGCAUUGGAGACUGCAAGGCUAGAAUCUGGCAGAGGGGGGUAGAAUUCCACGUGUAGCAGUGAAAUGCGUAGAUAUGUGGAGGAACACCGAUGGCGAAGGCAGCCCCCUGGGUCAAGAUUGACGCUCAUGCACGAAAGCGUGGGGAGCAAACAGGAUUAGAAACCCCAGUAGUCCCAUG